UUCCUAGGCAUUCACCAUAGACUCUUAUUACUUUGACCAUAUUUUUAUCUUCCAUCUCUAUUUUGCCAAUUUGUUUAUGCAACAUAAAAUAAUAUAUAUCUUUGUUUAAUACAUGUCAAUAUAUAUUUUAUUUUUUAUGCUAUUUAAAUAACACAUUCAAAAACACUAAUAUUGAAAAAACUAAAAACAAAUCCAAGGGUUAAAGUAUAAAAUAAAAACCCUGGCAAUAACUUACUCUCCCGCGAACUCGCAG
rnacentral:misc_RNA from 1 species